rnacentral:lncRNA from 1 species
AGCCACUGUGACCGGACCAAAACUUUUCAAAUAUAGUAUUCAACUUGGCAUUAUUAUUAAUCUUAGGUUCUAUACCUUGGGAACAAUAUGAAUUGCAAUAUGAGAUACAUAUUUGGGUAAUGAUAGAGCAAUGAUUAUUAUGGCAGGGAACCUCUGAUUUAAGAGAAACAUUGAGCAGUCUGAGUUAAAAGACAAAGAAGUGGGGUCCUGAGCCAAGCUUUACCAAACAUUACUGACCAUAGACAAUUCACAUUCCCUGUCUAGGUUCCAGUUUUUCUAUAAUUUGAAGAUGUCGAAUUAGUGAUCUUUAAAGUUAUUUCAGUUAUAGCAUUAUACAAAUGAAAAUAAAAUAAAAAGCUUAGAUUCAAAGCACAUGUGGUAUCCCAAUGAAUUGAUUUCUGAUAAAACCCACUUGAGUUAAAAAAAAAAAUGUGAUUUUAUAGCAGCCUGUGUGCAGGGGGCAAACAAUUUUUAAACCAGAAGAUAAAUAGAAGGAGUGAUUGUAAGAGAUUAUUAAGAAAACUGAAAAGAAUAUAUUUGGCAUUCAUGAGGAAAGUGAACACUGCCUCUCAAAUUAUUUUUGCUUGAGAGGAGAGUGGCCUUUGGCUUCUCACCUGUGUUUUGGUUGGCUUUAAAAACUUGGAUUUAAGUCCCACCAAAGUUGAAUAUAAAAUGUAUAGAAAAUUCCACUGCUCAAAAAAAAAAAAAAGAACACUCCUUCCACAAAUUGCCAUUAUGUAUGAUAGUUUGCCAUUUGAGACAAUCAUUGAAUAUUCUUAGUUGCAAACAACAAAAUUCACUCCAAUAGUUUUAGUAGGAAGUGAUUUAUUUGAAGUCUAUUGGCAGCACCAGAAAACCUGUAUAGACCAAGGGGACCAGGCUUAAAUCCUAAAUAUCUAGGAAAAAUAUGCCUUUGGGAACAGCUGUCCAGGAGCGAUGCCAAGGGAAUGCUGUAGCAAAAUAGCAUUUUCAUCAGUUGAUGUUUGCAGCUGAUUAUGCUCAGAACUUUAUGGUUAGGUAUUGCCCCCCUUGUGGAUUUUAGUAUUUUUCAAUGAUUCUGGCAGAUUAGACACAGUCCAUAUUGUCCUCACCAUAGCGAGGUGAAAUCCAUGUUGUUGAGCUUAUAGUUAACUUACCUUCCUGACUAUAUUCAGGAGCCCUUUGAGCAAAUACUAAAGUACUUGAAGAAAGAGACUACGACUACAAUACAAUUUUCACAUUUUUGUAACUCUACUACAGAGGAGUCCUUUUUGGUGAGUAUUCACAUAAGAUAUAAAUAUUCUCACCUUUGGCUCAUAUCUCUUUAUCAGUCUUCUUUGUCAAUAAUUAUCCAAUUUCAUUCCUUCCAUGUGACUGCCCAUUGGGUGAAAACUUUAGCCAUUGCCAAUUAACUGGUAGAUGUCUACAUCUGACCCUAUCACUGGAUGUACUGUAGUUUGUUUAAACAUUAAUGCAUUGAAGGACAUUUGUGUUGCUUCCAUUUUUUGGCU